UUGCGGCUACUCGUGUCUCUUUGAUUGCUGCAACUGGUUGAAGAAGGAAAGGUGUUCUGCGACUGAAGGAAGAGGGAAAGGUGAUCUACGAUUGCUGCGACUGUAGGAAGAGGGAAAGAGGGAAAAUUAUUGUUAAUAGUUUAAGCUUGUUUUAAAAGAAUGAAUUCAUCAUAUAAGGAUAUCGCAAGACAAUAGAAGAGAAUAAAAAAAAAAGAAGAAGGCUCUCAAUCUGACUCAACUCUCUCAAUUUAUUUACAAAUCUUCUUCGUCAUCUUCAAAAUCAUUAUGGUCUCUAAAGAGUCGUUCGAUGUUUGUACAACCUGGAGAUCUUGAAAUAUCCAGGAAGUGCCUACGUUCAGCGGCAACUCCACCAACUACGAUAAAUCCUCCGACAACUACACCAACAACAACAACAACAAAACCCCUCCACCACUCCAAACUACACCAACUACCCAUGUUACUACGCAAACAACAACAAUAACCCCUACCCCAAUCCAAACUACAGAACCAUGACUUUCUUCAGAGACAUUUCCUGACCAAGCCAUUUCAUCCCCUCAUUCUGAAGAUGUAGAAGAAGAUGAGCCAGAAAUUGAUCAAGUGAAUAGUUCUGAAUAUUGAUGAGGCACGUCAUAUUUCAAACACACGCUUAUGUGUGCAAGAUUUGAUUGGAAGAACUCCUGAUGGAACAAGGAUAAUUAUUGAUAGGGAUUCAAAUGGUCUUCUAGUAGGAUCAGCAACUCGUUUGUUAGUAGGAUAUUUAGGUAGACUUGUCAGAAUGUUUCAAGACCUUCCUAUAAUGUUCGAUAGUUGGAGAAAACUUCCAGAGGAAAACAAAACAACAUUUUAUAAUUCAAAAAUAAAGGCUCAUUUUGUUGUUGGUGAAGAUGGAUAGGACAAAAGAUUGAUUCUUCUUUCCACGGGAAAGAAAUGGAGAGAUGCUCGAUGUCGUUUGUUUUCUAAAUAUUAUAAAUGGGAUCUCACAUUGGAGGAAAAUCUUAAAACUUCUCCAAAAAGUAUUGACAAAAACGACUGGGCUGUUUUUGUUCAAUAUAGGCGGAAAGAAAAAACACAGAAAAUAGCAAGAACAAAUGCUAGAAAUAGAGAAAAAUUGAGAUUCCGCAUACACUCGUAUCUAAGUCGCUUGCAAGGAAGCGACAUGAGUUGGAAUUAAGAGAUGGAUGGACAUAUAGCAGAGGAGAAAUGUAUGCAAUUUGUCAUAAAAAGAUUGACAUAUCUUUUAUCAAUGAAGAUGUCCACAACAACAAUGAGAAAUUACAAGCUGCAAUUCAAGACUCUCUUUCUCAAAAUGAAGCAUUUGAGAAAGUCUUUGGAAAAGAACAUCCUGGACAUGUUCGUUGUAUGGGACUUGGAGUACCACAUCUUGAAUUAAUAGAUCUACGAGAUCUGCGUCUUUUUCUGAAGCAAAUGAAAAAAUGAAGGAAAUGCAAGAAGAGAUUGAUGCACUUAAAGAAAAGAAUUCAAGAAUUGAUGAGUUGAUGGAGCAAAUUGCAUUACUAAAGCAAAUGGACAAUGCUAGGAAGGAGGAGAUUGCACUCUUAAUGCAAAUGCGAAAUUCUAGUGGAAGUCAGGGAUCAUACUUAGAAUCAUCUAGAGAUGGUAGACGUUCUUCUGAGUCUAGCUACCGAGUUGAAGAUAAUGGAACAUCAAGAAAGACUAAUUAGAGAUUAAGAUUUGAUAUGAUUUAAGUUUUUUGUAUUAUAAUGCUUAUUAUCAAGAAUGACUAUGGAUCUUGCAUUUUUUUGGCAUUAUGAUGCUUAUUAGAAGAUUAAGAUUUGAUAUGACAUUAUGAUUAAGGAACUUGCACUUUUUCUUGUAUUAUGA